rnacentral:rRNA from 1 species
CGAGGGGUAUAGUAGCAAUACUAGAGACCGGCGCACGGGUGCGUAACGCGUAUGCAAUCUACCUUAUACAGAGGGAUAGCCCAGAGAAAUUUGGAUUAAUACCUCAUAGCAUAGCAACUUCGCAUGAAGUCACUAUUAAAGUUCCAACGGUAUAAGAUGAGCAUGCGUCCUAUUAGCUAGAUGGUAAGGUAACGGCUUACCAUGGCUACGAUAGGUAGGGGUCCUGAGAGGGAGAUCCCCCACACUGGUACUGAGACACGGACCAGACUCCUACGGGAGGCAGCAGUGAGGAAUAUUGGACAAUGGGCGCAAGCCUGAUCCAGCCAUGCCGCGUGCAGGAAGACGCAUCUAUGGUGUGUAAACUGCUUUUGUACGGGAAGAAACACUCCCUCGUGAGGGAGCUUGACGGUACCGUAAGAAUAAGGAUCGGCUAACUCCGUGCCAGCAGCCGCGGUAAUACGGAGGAUCCAAGCGUUAUCCGGAAUCAUUGGGUUUAAAGGGUCCGUAGGCGGUUUGGUAAGUCAGUGGUGAAAGCCCAUCGCUUAACGAUGGAACGGCCAUUGAUACUGCCAGACUUGAAUUACUGGGAAGUAACUAGAAUAUGUAGUGUAGCGGUGAAAUGCUUAGAUAU